rnacentral:rRNA from 1 species
UGGGGAAUCUUGGACAAUGGGGGCAACCCUGAUCCAGCCAUGCCGCGUGAGUGAUGAAGGCCUUAGGGUCGUAAAGCUCUUUCGCCUGUGAAGAUAAUGACGGUAGCAGGUAAAGAAACCCCGGCUAACUCCGUGCCAGCAGCCGCGGUAAUACGGAGGGGGUUAGCGUUGUUCGGAAUUACUGGGCGUAAAGCGCACGUAGGCGGACCAGAAAGUUGGGGGUGAAAUCCCGGGGGCUCAACCCCGGAACUGCCUCCAAAACUAUUGGUCUAGAGUUCGAGAGAGGUGAGUGGAAUUCCAAGUGUAGAGGUGAAAUUCGUAGAUAUUUGGAGGAACACCAGUGGCGAAGGCGGCUCACUGGCUCGAUACUGACGCUGAGGUGCGAAAGUGUGGGGAGCAAACAGGAUUAGAUACCCUGGGUAGUCCACACCGUAAAACGAUGAAUGCCAGUCGUCGGGUAGCAUGCUAUUCGGUGACACACCUAACGGAUUAAGCA